CCUACGGGUGGCAGCAGGGAGGAAGAUGGGUCAAUGGGCUUACGAAGGAACCAGCCAAGUCGCGUGAGGGAAGACUGCCCUAUGGGUUGUAAACCUCUUUUGUCAGGGAGCAACGCCGGCUACGUGUCGCCGGACUGAGAUUACCUGAAGAAAAAGCAUCGGCUAACUCCGUGCCAGCAGCCGCGGUAAUACGGAGGAUGCGAGCGUUAGCCGGAUUUAUUGGGUUUAAAGGGUGCGUAGGCGGAAUGCCAAGUCAGCGGUAAAAUCGCGGGGUUCAACCUCGCUCCGCCGUUGAAACUGGCGGUCUUGAGUGGGCGAGAAGUAUGCGGAAUGCGUGGUGUAGCGGUGAAAGGCAUAGAUAUCACGCAGAACUCCGAUUGCGAAGGCAGCAUACCGGCGCCCAACUGACGCUGAAGCACGAAAGCGUGGGUAUCGAACAGGAUUAGAUACCCCUGUAGUC
rnacentral:rRNA from 1 species